ensembl:lncRNA
CUGCGAAUUCAGUUGCUCUGCAAGAUAAAUUGUUACUUAAGAGUAAAAAGAUUGCUUCAUCAUUGUAUGAGCCAUUUACUAUCAUUAUGGACAAUUCUGCUGAGCCAAAGAGCUUUUAAUCAGGAAGAAGUGCUGAAAAAUGGAAUCAAGAGAUCGAACUCGGGACCUUCCACUUGCGAGGCAGAUGGCAGCACCACUGAGCUAAAUCCCCGGCCCCCUAUAAACCAUAACAUCAGAUACUACCUGCUCAUGAAAUUAAUAAGUAUCCUUUUUAUAUCUGGGCAGUACAGAGCCAAACCCAGUCUUCACUCUCUUGCAACUUAAUUUCUAGCAGGGAGACAAAUAAUAAGCGUAGAGAUGACCAUGUCCAGGUGUCAGCUGGGCCUAGUGUGAGGGAAAAGUAAAGCAGGGAAAAGGAAGAGAAAGGGCCAGGGUGCUACUCAGUGUAGGGUCAUCAGGAAAGGGCUUCAGAGAAGACAGCACGGAGCUGCCCCAGGAAGGAAGAGAGGGGGAGCCAAGAGGAUAUGGCCAAGGGCACCCCAGGCAGAGGGCACAGAAAGAGCUAAGGCCCGGAGCAGGAGUGGCCUUAGUUGUUGGGGGAAUAGCAAGGAGCCCAGUGUGGCUGGCAUGAGGAGGGCAGGAGGAGAGCGUUGAGAUGGGAAGUCAGGGAGGCAUCGUGUGGGGCCCUGAAGUCAGUGUAGGGACUUGGGCCUCCACUCUGAGUGAGACGAGAAGCCACUGCAGAGGCCUGGGGGUGCCAUGACCAGACUCCCACUUCCAAACACCCCCUGCCCCAUAGGAGAACAGCGGGUAGGGGUGAGGUUGCCCUAGGAGGCAGGGGGUGGAGCUGGUCAGCAGAGCCAUGGCUUAAGCCAGGGUGACGGUGAACUCCAGAU